GGAAAGAACUGCAUUCAGCUAUUUAUGGUUCUCCAGUUCCGGACGAGUGUUGAGGGAAAUGUUCUACGCUCCUCUCUAGCUGCUCGCCUGUGUGCACCUCCUCUCCUCACGUAGAAGCCAGGCCACUUAAUACCAUCACCAUGGAGACAGCUCACUGGCAACUCCACUGGCUAACAGGAGCCCCAGCCACACGAUCAUUCAAGCACGCAGACAAUAAAGGACACAUGCACAUACAUAUGUGACAAGAAUAGCAUCGUGUGCAAAAACAAAUCCUUCAACUGCAACAGAGAGAGCUAUUCUCACUUUCAGAAUCCUCAGAGUUGCAAAGCAUCAUCAAGAACAAGAAACACACCAGAAAAAUCAGAGAUGAGAUGAGCUGUGACGUCUUGAAGAGACAGCCCUGCAGAUGUGCAUGAAGGACAGUGCCUUGUGAUGCUCUGAUGUUUGGCUCUCACAGACGUCUGUCAGGAUGAAAGAUAGACCACAGCUGGACAGUCGGGAUCCUGGGAUGAAAUGAUGUCACUAUGCCGUGUCAGUCCCAGCUGCUGCGGGACGGAGCAAAGACGGGGAAAUUUUGAGUUGGCGGUUUCCCAUUGCUCUUCCAUGAAAAUGAUGCACAGCCAGACAUCACAUAAUUACGAAGUCCCUGUCAUCUUAGGAAUUUGAGAUUU